UACAGAGGGCGCAAGCGUUGUCCGGAAUCACUGGGCGUAAAGGGCGCGUAGGCGGCCCCGAAAGUCCGGCGUGAAAUCUUGGAGCUUAACUCCGAAACUGCAUUCGAUACUGCCGUGCUUGAGGACUGGAGAGGAGACUGGAAUUUACGGUGUAGCGGUGAAAUGCGUAGAUAUCGUAAGGAAGACCAGUGGCGAAGGCGGGUCUCUGGACAGUUCCUGACGCUGAGGCACGAAGGUCAGGGGAGCAAACGGG
rnacentral:rRNA from 1 species